rnacentral:rRNA from 1 species
UACAGAGGGGGCUAGCGUUGUUCGGAAUUACUGGGCGUAAAGGGCGCGUAGGCGGCCCUCUAAGUCGAACGUGAAAUCCCCGGGCUCAACCCGGGAACUGCGUCCGAUACUGGAGGGCUCGAAUCCGGGAGAGGGAUGUGGAAUUCCAGGUGUAGCGGUGAAAUGCGUAGAUAUCUGGAGGAACACCGGUGGCGAAGGCGGCAUCCUGGACCGGUAUUGACGCUGAGGAGCGAAAAGCCAGGGGGAGCAAACGGGG